rnacentral:tRNA from 1 species
CAGAUUGUCGUUUUACUACGACGAUUGGGAUAGCAAGCUGGCUCUGCUUAAACCAGCGCAUAGUAAUGAGGGUAUUU